rnacentral:rRNA from 1 species
UACGUAGGGACCAAGCGUUGUUCGGAUUUACUGGGCGUAAAGGGCGCGUAGGCGGCAUGACAAGUCACUUGUGAAAUCUCCGGGCUUAACUCGGAACGGUCAAGUGAUACUGUCGCGCUAGAGUGCGGAAGGGGCAAUCAGAAUUCUUGGUGUAGCGGUGAAAUGCGUAGAUAUCGAGAGGAACACCAGAGGUGAAGACGGGUUGCUGGGCCGACACUGACGCUGAUAGCGCGAAAGCCAGGGGAGCAAACGGG